UUAAAUUUACUUAGAGUAGAGAGUAUUCAAAAAGUCCAACAAUUAAUUUUGAGAUUGAGGUCAAAUUGUGGUACCCAGAUAGUAAAAUUAGCUUCUCUAGGCCGGAUGAUAGUAAAGUUCGUAAAUUUGUUUGAAGUUCAAAAUUAGGUAAGCAAAAGAGAAAGAGAAUGAUGAAGGGAGAAAUUGGGAUUCAUGAAUCUGAAACAAAUGAACACAAUUUGGGCAUUGGUACUUCACUUUCAGCGCCUUCACUUCUCUGUUCAUUGAAGAAGGGCAGUGGUUCAGGAAUUGAGGUUUUAAGCAGGAAGGAAACAUGUCUUUUUGGGGGAAAGUGAAAGCUUAGAAGCCCAACCAUGGACCGACCACUGUUUUAAAUGAGAAUCCACGAUUUGGGUCACUGAACAAUUAUCAGAAUCAAUCAUUUGCGGGGGUCAAACAAAAAAGUGUCCUCAAGGUGUUCGAUCAAAGGCCUAUGAGACAAUCCAAGGGACAACAAUAUCUUGUGCUUGUUGGGAAACUUGUCUGGUGAGAGAAUGAGCCAAAAGCAUACGGUUUUUUUUCCCACUCUUUUCCUCCCUUUCUGCUAGCAAUUUCAAGCGUUUCUAUUUGCAGCUGGAAAUGUUUCAAAUGGUUAGUCAAAGAUUCCUCGUUCAUCCAAUGAGCAAAAAAAACGGGAACAGAAAGCAAAGAGAGAGCUACUGAUCAUUUUCAUGCUUACUUUCUUUUCUUUUAUUUUAAUCAUAUAAUCAUUUUCAUCUUUGUUUCUCUGUCAUUAUGUAAGAAAUUAAUGUCAGCCGUUGUCGUGACAUACAUAAUCGUGUCUUAAUAUAUAAUUUCUUCAAAUUGUAAUAGUUUUCCAUUUUGUUGUCCCCUUUGGUUUUUGCUUUAAAGAGGGCAGUUGCAUGUUGAUCAAAUAGAUUUUAACUAUUUAUAAAGUCUAUUGUAAACUAUUUAAUCUCGACUUUCAUUUUACAUUUUUUUCUCCAAAGUCAUUUUUCAAUAUACUGUCAACACGUGAGCUAGGCCUCACAGUAAAAAAAAAAAAAAAAAAAAAAAAAAACAGAAAAAUAAAAACUAGGCACUCGCAUUCCUCCAUCAUGGCCGCAUGGACAAUGAAAGAGACUUGGCCACACAAUUCAAUACAUCCCGAUAAGCUUGGCCAUUUUCUUUUUCCAACUAUUCCCUUGAUCAAGUUCCACAUUCUCUGAGAUAUAUCUAGUUCAUGCCUUUGAGAAGUUUUGAUUUGUUUAGUAUGAGAUUGAAAAGUUUGAAACCUAUGCCUGGAUUUAUGAAGAAUUCUAGAAGUAUGAGGUCAUCAAACUUAGCUUAUAUUUAGCUUUAAAUUUAUGGUUUGUGUGAGCUAUUGUUUAGUUUGGUUUUUUGAGAUGAUAUAAGCUGGAUUGCAAAACUUCAGUAAUCUUAUAAAAUUAGCGAGCACUAAGUCAAACUAAGCUCAAUAAGUUGCUCACAACGAUUAGUUUGUACUCUAUUUUUAAGGUUUGAGGAUCAAAUUUCUCCUACCACUCUUGUUGUACUCAAAAUGACAGCAAAAUGACAAACAAACUAAACAUGAACAAGUGUAAGUGGGAAUUCUUAGGUAGUUCAAAAAUUGGGAAGCAAUCCCUUAAAGAGACGCAUUACACAAGGCCUCCUUCAAAACCUUUCACUGGUCUGUAUGCCUUUGAGGUCACCAUGUACUAUGGUAACUUGAACGAAUCCCACACGGGAAUAUCAAACUGUCUCACAACUUUCCUACUGUACCAAUGAACUUGGAUUAUUUUCUCGACGCCUCUAGAUAGCAGUGGAUUGUUUCUAUAAUUAGAUAAUGUUUUGUAGUGAUCAAGAGGAGCCAUAUAUGGAUACAAAAGAGAUGUAAGAUGUGAGGAGGAUUUCAAAUUGGAUAGGGAAAGAAGAAUGAGAUUGGGAUUGCGAAUGGGAAGAAGUUGCGUAGAGUAGACCAAAGAGACUUGACAUAUCACAUCAGGGGGUUGUUGUGUUUGUUGAAUAUGUGUAUAGGCAGGCAUGAUAAAGAAAAAGGAAAGAAGUGAAAAUUCAUUAUGGUGAAUCCUCAGGCUCAUAACCCCCUCGUCUUGUUCAGAAAAGAAAAAAAAGCUCAAAAUGCCAAAUCUUUUUUGAUUCAUCAUUCAAACCCCUGAUAUGUCACUCUUCAUCAAUUCUCCCCCUUUACUUUUCUAAUUCUGAUUGAUCUAGCCCCCACCAUGCCUACCUGACCCCACCAAUCCCUCCCUCUCUCUUUCUCUCUUACUUACUGUCAAACACCUCUUUUCAUUUCAACUUCUCUCCUAAAAAUUUUUCACUUGGGAUUGCCAAAAGAUUGUGGACAUCUUUCAAAUCUCUGUGUCUGAAAAAGUAUUAUGAGACUUCUUUAGCUAAUUUGGUUCUUUGGAUUUGAGGGUGUUCCAUAAGAAUACAACAGAUUGGUUUGCUUUGUUGUGUGAAAAAAGCGAGCGUAGUGUUAUGUUAGAGACAUAAUUCCCAUCACUUGAUGUAAAAUUGUUAAUUUCCAUUUUCAAUGUAUAUAGUCAAAACUAGCGUGUGAGAUAUAAUUUGCCUUCCUAAUGAUUGAAAAUCUUAGAAAAUUUAUUAGGAGUUAAAUGUCAUUUGGCUAAACCUUAGUUUUGAACAAAACACUUCAAGAUGCUUGGUCUUUCAAGAUUCUAGUUUUCUGACAUUUACUUGCAGUUUGUAAAGUCAUUAUCUUGGAUAAGUGGAUCGAAUUCACACAAAUGUAGAAAACUUCAACCUAAAAUCAUCUCAUAUCCAACUUCUUAAACAUCGUUAGAAGAUGAUAUCAAUAAAUGAAGCUAACGAAACAAUUACCUUGAAAUACUGGCAAUGGUGUAAAGAAGCCAACUUUUACAAUCCCUAGACUUUUCUAUUUUUUUCUUUUACAGUUACUGUCACUAAUCCCUUUUCUCUGUUUACAAUUUCAGUGGGUUAAUUAGCAGAGCUCCAUGACGUGUGCUUUGGAAACCCUCCUCCAUUAAAAUAAUCCCUACUCGAAUUAGAUUCUUUAUUUUCAAAAAUAUUAUUUAUAUAUAUAUAUACACAUACUCAUAAUUCAUUAAAAAAUAUAUAAAUAUAAAAAAGAUAUUAUUAUAAUGGCGCAUCUCUGGAUAGGGAAAGGAAAGAAAACCAGGUGUGUGAUACCCACUGCCACGCCCCUUUCUUUUAACCUGUUUAAGGGCCCCUUCCCCUUAUAAAUACCGCCGGAGCCUCUCUCCCUAAACUAAAUUAAUCCACUCUUUCUCUCUCUCUAAACCGCUCUUCAGUCUUCAUUCACUCUCUACAACCUUCCAUUUUUGUCAAAGCUCCAACCUUUCCUUAAACCCACUUCACACUUCACUCAAAAAAUGACUUCUAUUUCUUCUGCCGCCGCAGCAGCAGCGGCCGUUCCGCCGCCGUUUUACAUGGAGGAGAAAUGGAAGCUGCCAAAGAAAGGAGCUCCGGCUAGAACUCGAUCAUCUUCUUCCUCGUGUCCUCUGAUGAGAAAUUCUUCUGACAGGAGAUGUUCUUUUACACGAAAAUGUGCAAAAUUGGUGAAGGAACAAAGGGCUCGAUUUUACAUCAUGAGGCGAUGUGUUACCAUGCUCAUUUGUUGGCAUAACUACAACGAUUCCUAGAAUCUCACUCCUUUAUUGUUCUUCCCUUUUAAGAGAAAAAUCAGAAUCAGUAUCAAAACCAGAAUCAGAUCAAAUCAUUUGGGUUUUCUUUUUCUUUUUCUUUUCCUUUCUGGAGAAAAAUGCGAUGUUCUAUCUCCUCUGGUCCUGAAAAUGGGAGCUAUAGUGGCCAAAGCCCAGAUGGGAUUUUCCAGAAACAUUGCAAAUCCGGAUCUUUGAGAAAGCUUAGAGAGGAAUUUUAUACUUGUAAAUAGUUAUAUGAUGUAGUAUUGGAAUCGUUUGGAAUUUAAAUUUUGUUUUUUGUUUUUUGUUUUCUUUAGUCUGAUGGGUGAGACUGAGAUUUGUAGGGUUCUUUAUUGACAAAGCAUUGAUCUCUGUAACUUCUUCCAUUGUUUUUUCUCUAAUCAAAUGAAAUUUCGUCGUCA